CGCCGCCCCUGCUCGGGCCCCGCCGGCUCCCCUUGUGUACGAAAGGAGCUUAAAAAGCCAGGCUUACUUGUUGGAGGUGCCGUGUAAAUUGGUGAGAAGCGUGAAGUUGUUCCUCACGCUUCUUAGGCUGGCCAGCACCUGAGGGAGACAAAACCGCAGGUGUCACCUUCUCUACUUUAAUGCUUUAAAAACUAUUUUAGAGGCCAAUGUGCCACCAACUCACCUGGGCGAAAGGUGUGACGAUCAGGUCGUCGCCAUGCCUAAGGAAAAACGGAGAAAAAUGUAUAAAUUUCUGUACAAAUUUACCUUCAAACAGAGUGAAAUUCACCUCAGGGAACGAGUGUUUUCCCGAGGGCGUUGAACGUACCCACGCAGCAUUUAGUUAACACCACAUAAAAGCUUGUUCCUAAUGGAAAGGUCACCGUGUAUAUCCAAAACAACCGGCUGGAGCGAGCGUUCGGACUGGGAACGCCAGGCAAUAAAAGGCAGGAAAUUCAAAAGUUAAGGCUCACACUCGCACAGCGGUGGAAAAAAACCAACCGUAGUGGUGCGGGGAAAGGUCACCUUUGAAUUUCCUGGCUUUUGUUGAUCUCUGUCGCAGUCUCUAACCUUGCUCAGACGCCGGGUUUUGUCCGGCUGUUUUCAUCAUGGAAGAUUUGAGCAGAAGUUGUGAGCAAAACACACCACUGCCAGCAAUAAGAGGGAUUUUUUUUUCUCUUUUCUUUCUUCGAUUUUUUUUUGUAUUAGUUAUGGCACUUGUGCGUGUUUGGAACAUUCUGUAUGAGAGAUGGAAGGGUAUAGAAUCAUUUAAAGGUCCCUCCCAUCCCAAACCAUUCCAGGAUUCCAUUAUUCUAAACACCUCACUCCACCCUCCAUGCCUUUUGCACAAGCCCUGGGGUUCAAUUUGCCAAACCUCCCUCCAAGUCUUACGAGCACAACAGGGACAAAGGCACCACAAUGUGACAACACUCCCCAGCCCAGCCCUGUGCUCACCUGCUCCAGAGCCAAACUUUUGAAACCCUGAGAGAUUUGCAAGCACUGGGCACUUGUGGGAGCUGGAUGCCCAAACCAUGUUUUAUCCAUUCCAGGUAUCAGUUCAGUGGAUUUUAAACAGCUGUGCUGUAAAAUGAAAGGCUGUUUAAAAAGUAAAAAAAAACGCACUAAACUUUUUGUCACCUUUUCCAUUUUACACCCACUUUCUUGUGGUUUCAUAGCUUGGCUCUGUAACCCGUGGCUGAAGUCACCCUGGCCACUCCAGCAAGUGACACCCCUCGUAAAAGCUGAAAAUGAGCAGGUUGACCUCCUUUGGGCCUGAUAGAAACACCAGAUGUGUGACACGGCCCAGAAAGCCGAGUGAGGUACAGCCAUGCUCAGGAGGAAUUUCCUUGCCUUUGGGAGUCAGGUUUUGUCUCUUGCAGUAGGAGCUGAGUGCUUGCUCCAGUGCCUCAUCCCAUGCCAGAUGUUGUCCCACCAGGACACCAGGCUGUGGUUCCUGCCACGCCUUUCUCCAUCCCUCCACUCCUUAAUCCAGAAGAUUCCCUGAGCACAGUGGCAGAGAAGACCCCAGCUCUCCCUCCUUUCUGCAGAGAGAGCUUUAACUGCAGCAGGAAGAGCUCAUAAAGUACUAAUGUCUGAACUUGCCUGAAUCCUGCAAGUUUUCCAGAUUUCUACACCACUGGGAUGAGCUGGACACAUUCAGGCUGCCUUGGUGAGAAGCCUGGCACAGCCAAUGCCCAGCUGGGAACACCACGCUGCUCCAGCUCCUGCUGCCCGCUUCCCAUGUUCCCUGUUCCAGCACCUGGAAUGCUGCCGUACGGAUCACGUGGGGAGCCCAACUGAAAAGUGCUUUUAUUCCUUUCCUCAAGUUCAAUGUGCAGCCACACCAGUGCUCCUCAGGCUCUUUUUCCUUGGCCUUGAUCCAGCACUCAGCCAGAAGUUAACAGAAAAUUCCCCAAAAAGUGACUGAUCCCAGAGUUUGGGGUUACCUCUGCCAGGAGUGAACAGGCACUCCCAGAGGUACAGCCUGUGAGCACGAUCCUCAAACCCAGAAAUAACUCUGCUGUCACUGCUUUUUAAUAGGUACAAGAACUGGAAUAUGGGAAAAUGUUCCCCUUGGAUAUCAGGAAAAUGUAUCCCCGACAUACACAGAGCAAGCAUUUAAUCUUGUGUUUGUCACCAGUUGCUCCUGGUUUGCACAACACUGGAACUGUGUCCUGAUGCCAAAAAGUAUCUCCCAAACAAACAUCUGGUGGAAUUGGUAAGAACUGCAGUGGGAUUGUAAAGUUGCCCUCUCAGAGCUGCAUUUCCCACUAAUUUUUUUCAAUUGGAAGUUAUCUGCUGAGCUCUCCUGGAAAAACUUCAUCACUGUGUUCAGAACACUGCACAGACUGCGAGGUCCUCUCCACAGUUUGCACACCCCACAGGCUUUGUCCAAGUGGAAAAAAACCUGCAUUUGCCUGCUUAAAGAUAAGGAUGGCAGAGUACAAACCACAAAAAAACCCCAAA